AAUUUUGGACAAUGGGGGAAACCCUGAUCCAGCCAUCCCGCGUGUAUGAUGAAGGCCUUCGGGUUGUAAAGUACUUUUGGCAGAGAAGAAAAGGUAUCUCCUAAUACGAGAUACUGCUGACGGUAUCUGCAGAAUAAGCACCGGCUAACUACGUGCCAGCAGCCGCGGUAAUACGUAGGGUGCAAGCGUUAAUCGGAAUUACUGGGCGUAAAGCGCGCGUAGGUGGUUCGUUAAGUUGGAAGUGAAAGCCCCGGGCUUAACCUGGGAAUUGCUUUCAAAACUGACGAGCUAGAGUAUGUCAGAGGGGGGUAGAAUUCCACGUGUAGCAGUGAAAUGCGUAGAUAUGUGGAGGAAUACCGAUGGCGAAGGCAGCCCCCUGGGAUAAUACUGACGCUCAGACACGAAAGCGUGGGGAGCAAACAGG
rnacentral:rRNA from 1 species